GCAGAAAGGAAGAGACUCCCUUUUGCAGCAUUUCUGGCAGCCAUAAAUACAGGCUGGGUGGCAAUGUGCUAUGCGCCGUGGGGGAUAAAACGAAGUAUGAGAUGUAACCCUUACGCCCAAGUAGCUUCCGAUCUAAAACAAAACAAAACAAAAAAAAAGUCAAACCUAGCAGUUUCUUCAAGCACUUAAUUUUCUGCCACAGGUACUUGUGGCUGUUGGAAUUCAGGAAAGGGGGAGGCCACUGAAAACUGGAGGAAGAAAUGCUUCCUGGAGGAGAAGGAUUCUGUGGUGGACCCCAAUGACAAGUGGAAGGAACAGAAGAGAUGGAGAAGAGAUAGGGGAAGAAGAAAUGGCCCAGGAAAAGGAAGACAGCAAAGCCCUAGGCUGUAGUGAGAAACCACCCUCACCACUGACUGACCGGGAGUGGCCCUCUGCCCUCCACGCGUCUCCCAUGGACCCCAGGCCAGCGUGAGGACGUCACACCUGCCUUAGGCCUUGGUUCCAGCACUUCCUGGGUGGCAGGGCCACGAUGCCCUCCGUGCCUCCCUGUGUCUUGCUCUCCAGCGAUUAGCCCCGUAGCUCUGGGUCCCCAGGGCCCAAUGGUCCUGGAGGAGAGGGCCUGUCUUUCCUUUCACGCCCAGCCUGAAGCUCUGGGACAUAAGGCCCAGGACAUGACUUGUUGAAUGAGGGCGAGUGAAGGGGAAUAGCACGAACUGAGAAUGAGCUCCAGGAGAACCCCCACCUGCCCAUCUCCUGUGUUCUUGACCUCGCCAUCAUCUCCCUAGGUUCUCAAGAAUGGUCCAUGGGCUCUCGGUGUAUGUGGCCAUGACACGAAGGAGUCAGAGGCAUGUUGGGUCGGAGGCCUCCCCUGCUCCGUUCCAGCAAGGAAUUGGGUUUGGUGCAUUACCAGUGAGCUCCCUACCCAGCAGGAUAUGGGGUGUCCUUCCCUUCUCAGGUUUGGAGACAGCUCUGCUGUGUGACUACAGCUCCACGGAGCCCAAAGAGCCAAGGCACUUCCAACGCCUACCUCACUUGAGCCCUGUAACGACCAAGGCAUGA
ensembl:lncRNA